ACGGCCGCGGUACCCUAACCGUGCGAAGGUAGCAUAAUCACUUGUUCUUUAAAUAGGGACUUGUAUCAACGGCAUCACGAGAGCUGCACUGUCUCCCCCCUCCAUCAGUGAAACUGAUCUCCCCGUGAAAAAGCGGGGAUAAAAUUAUAAGACGAGAAGACCCCAUGGAGCUUUAAACCCAAUAGCAAUUUAGCAAAAUACUACUACCAAGCUACAUAGCCCUGCUAGCGGUUUUAGGUUGGGGCGACCACGGAGUAAAAACUAACCUCCAUAACGAAAAGACUAAAUCUUAACCCAUUAUUACUAUUUAAAGUAUUAGAAUACUAACGAACUAUGACCCAAUAUUGAUCAAUGAACCGGGUUACCCUGGGGAUAACAGCGCAAUCUACUUCAAGAGUCCAUAUCGACAAGUAGGCUUACGACCUCGAUGUUGGAUCAGGGUAUCCCAGUGGUGCAGUCGCUACUGAAGGUUCGUUUGUUCAACGAUU
rnacentral:rRNA from 1 species